rnacentral:rRNA from 1 species
UACGUAGGGCGCAAGCGUUGUCCGGAAUUAUUGGGCGUAAAGAGCUCGUAGGCGGCUUGUCACGUCGGGUGUGAAAGCCCGGGGCUUAACCCCGGGUCUGCAUUCGAUACGGGCUAGCUAGAGUGUGGUAGGGGGAUCUGGAAUUCCUGGUGUAGCGGUGGAAUGCGCAGAUAUCAGGAGGAACACCGGUGGCGAAGGCGGGAUCCUGGGCCAGUACUGACGCUGAGGCGCGAAAGCUAGGGGAGCAAACGGG